AGAGAGAGAGAGAGAGAGAGAGAGAGAGAGAGAGAGAAGUCGACUGAGGGAGAGCGAGACCGUGGGAGAGCCAGAGAGAGAAACAGAGAGGGAGAUCGCCGAGAGAGAGAGAACCCGUGUGACCCAAAAACCCACGAGGAGACCCAACCGAAGGCCGAGCUUCCGGUGGAGCCAGAGGACCCGACGGACCCAGACCCGAUUUCCAGCGAACAGAGAUGCGACGUCCGGUGGAUCGUUGGCCGGUUGAGCUAGGGGUAUUUUCGGCGGUUCUGGCCGGAAAUCCGGCGACAUCCAGUGGCAAUUUUUUCGGUGAGCUAAGAGUGCGAUUUUCCUGCGACCCAAGCCUGUUUUUCCGGCGAUUUCAGUGGGUCUUACACGGUGAAUUUCUUUGUGUUUGAACAGAAAAUCCCUAGAAUAUGAGCUAUUGUGAGAACUGCACCAAAAGGCUGUUUAUAGACAAGGAUUAGAGCUGAAGAGGUCUUAAGGCUAAGGACGCAUAGUUUGCAUUUUGUUUAUAAUUUUCUGUGUUUAUAAUGUUUUAUGUUGACAAGAUUACUAAUAAUUUCCAUGUAUUCUCUUGUGUCACUAUUGACACAUGUUUACAUGUAUUUGUCUAAACAUUUUC